GCCGGGCGUGGUGGCUCACGCCUGCAAUCCCAGCACUCCGGGAGGCCGAGGUGGGCGGAUCACUUGAGGUCGGGAGUUUGGGACCAGCCUGACCAACACAGUGAAACCCCAUCUCUA
ensembl:misc_RNA Metazoa_SRP Metazoan signal recognition particle RNA